rnacentral:lncRNA from 1 species
GUGGCUAGUUCUCUGACUAACAUUAAGCUUGGUUGUAUGCUUCUGAUGAUUGUGUAUGCUUAUUCCUUUUCACUUUCAUGAUUUUUCUUACUGAAGGAUUUAAACAUGCCUUUUUGAUUGUAUUGCAGCUCCAGGAGUGAAAGGGUCUGGAGUCAGUGGAGUAGUUUAUGCUUCUGAACCUUUGAAUGCCUGCAGCCCAUUAACAAUCAAAACAGUCAAUGGCCCUCCAUCUCCCUUUGCGUUAAUUAUAAGAGGCGGGUGCACAUUUGAUGAGAAAGUAAAAAAUGCACAGGAUGCUGGAUUCAAAGCUGCAAUCGUAUACGACAAUAAAAAUAGUGGGGUCCUGGUUUCAAGUAAUUUACCUUGUUACUCGCACUUGCUCCUUAUCCAUUGUUUUCUUAAUGCCACUUGC